UGCUUAUCAGGAGUAGCAAAGCGAUGGUCGCUCUCCCAUACCCCAUCAGCCCUCCCUGAAGGGGGCCAUCCUGUUAACCAACUUCCGCCUGGGACAGUGCUCACCAAGAUACCUAAGGAGCCCAAAGCCUUCCUUGGGUCCCUGUGGAGCAAAAUCAAUAAUGCCACUAUGUGAGGAUAACAGCCACUGCUGUAACAAACUCCAGCCUCCAGUGGCUUAACACAAUAGUCAUGGAGACGGCUCACAUAAAAUCCAAAAUGGAUUUUCCUGAUCGGUGGAUGGCUUUCCUCCGACAACUCAUUCAGGGACCCAGCUCCUUCCAUCUUGUGGUUCCAUAAUUUUCAACAUAUGGCUUCCAAUGUCACUAUACUGUAUAUAUCAAGCUGUAAAGGGAAAAGCACCUCCCACGUGGGAGGUUUCCAUGGACCGGGCCUAGAAGUAGCACCCAUUACCUCCAUCCACAUUUCAUUGGUAAAAACUAGGUCACAUGGUCUAGCUAGACCAUAAUUCCCAGCUCCCCUCUAUCUGCAAGAGAAUCUGGGAAUUACAGUAUAGCUAUGUGCUCAGGAGGAGAGGAAACAGAAUUAGACUAUGCAAUCUCCACCACAGCCGACCACCAUGACAUGAAUCACUAGCACUACCAGGGAGGGGGAUGGUAAUAAACCGGUGAGUUUACCACAGAGUUCCAACUGUUGGCCUAGAAACUGUGUUGGAAUGGCCUAACACUAGGCUCAAACAACCUCAUUAGGAUUUGGGGUAACUAUAUCAGAUGAGCAGUAAGGUCUCUGCCAAAUCCACACUUCCCUCCCCAGAGUUUCUGAAUGUAUAGGUUGCUAUGCUUUGUACCAUUGGACCUGCCUCCCUAGGCACAGAUACUUGAACCAGAGAUGGCUACUUAACCAAAAUAAGGCGUCCCUCUAUAGGUGUGCAAGAGAGGGGCUGAUGCAGUUGAGCUCUGCUCAACAAAGGCACACACUACUGAAUAUUGACAAAUGACCAAAGCCGACUUUUCUUCUUUUUUCCUUGGGAGUUUUAAAGCAAGACAUACAGAUGGAAGAGAGAUGGAAGAGGAACGGCACAGAGAGAGAAGGCAGGUGCAGAAUCACAAAGCAUCUGAACCCAUGAGGAGGUAGACGCAAAGGAGUAGGAGACACACAGCAGGAUCAAAUCAGUCGGGAGCAAAAUAGGAAGAAUCUGGAAAAGAAGAAAUAAAAGCAGAAUUUUAGACAGGACCUAGUACACUCAAGGUUCCUGCCAAUUGCUAACGAAGCUGAAGUCUCCCUAUCAGUAAAAGAAAUAAAUAUUGGAUACCAAGAGCCUCAGAGACUUAUACUGAGUUGAAGAUGGAAGCAAUGAAAAAAGAGACUCACUGUAUUAGCAAGUGGAUACUUGGUGCUGCUGGACUGCAAAAUUUGUCUAAAGAUUAAGAAAAUAUUAGGGAAAAUCUCCUAUAGAUAGGGCAGGUAUAAAGUAAACACAGUGUACUAGUCCAUUCUCAUACCACUAAUACUGCUAUGAAGAAAUACCCGAGACUGGGUAAUUUAUAAAGAAAAAGAGGCUUCAUGGAUUCACAGUUCCACAUGGCUGGGGAGGCCUCACAAUCAUGGUGGAAGGCGAAGGAGGAGCAGAGGCACAUCUUACAUGGCGGCAGGAAAGAGACCGUCUGCAGGGGAGCUGCCCUUUAUAAAAUCAUCUGAUUCACUACCACAAGAACAGCAUGGGAAAAACCUGCCCCUAUGAUUCAAUUACCUCUUACCGGGUCCCUCCCACAACAUGUGGGGAUAAUGGCAGCGACAAUUCAAGAUGAGAUCUGGGUGGGGACACAGUGAAACCAUAUCACACAGAAUAGUCUGGAAUACUAAAAAUAAGGUCGCACUGUAAAGGCAUUGAAGCAUAGGAACAGGACAGAUGGGUGUGGCUUGGGAAAGGGGAAAGAUUGGCACUUUUAUUCCAGGAUUGGGCCCCAUCUCAUUUUAGCUCACCAAAUUCUUGAGUAUCAACCUGUUCUGAAAUUGAUUAGAAUGGAGUGUUAAAAAAAGUAAGUUGAUAUUUUUUAUUUGAUAUUCUUAUACUCUUGUGGCUUAAGUGGUGCUGGCAUUUUUAUUUCAAUUUUAUAGAUAAGGAAAAUGAAAUAAAAAGAGGGUGACACAUAGAAAAUGCAUGAUAGAGCCAGCAACUGUCUCUACGGACUUGUGGUGUACUUUUAUUCCAUUAGAUUACAAAAAAACUGGAUUUGUUUGUGAAUAAGAUUAGAGUCAUUUUCAAAUUAAAUUUAUCAGCUACAUGGAAAAAUUAUCUUCUUUACCUUAGAGGCACUCCUUGUGGGUGUAUUUUGUCCCCACCAAAUUAGCUUUAUUUAGGGGAACCUAAAUUUAUUCUACUAAAACUACUCGAAAUGACAUUCGUUUGUUUCCAAAAAUUAAAUCCAUACUCCAAAGGUGUGUAAUUUGACUAAAUUAAAAAAAAAAAUCUGCAUGCCAGAAAGUAAAAGUAGAGUGAAAAGAUAGAUGACAGACACAUCAUGACUAAGGCUGAGACCUUUCAUAUAGAAAAAGAUCAAUAAUUCAGUGGGAAGAAAUGGGGAAAAAUCAUAAACUGUCAGGUCAAACAAAAGGAAAUACAAACAGUUUUAAGAGAUAUGAAAGAUGUUCUAAUUUAGAAAAUGAAAAUUAGGCUGGACAUGGUGGCUCACGUCUGUAAUCCCAGCACUUUGGGAGGCCAAGGUGGGUGGAUCACCUGAGGUCAGGGGUUCGAGACCAGCCUGACCAAUAUGGUGAACCCCCAUCUCUACUAAAAAUACAAAAAUUAGCCAGGUGGACACAAGCCUGUGAUCCCAGCUUCUCAGGAGGCUGAGACAGGAGAAUGGCAUGAACCCAGGAGGCAGAGGUUGCAGUGAGCUGAGAUCGUGCCACUGCACUCCAGCCUGGGCAACAGAGCGAGACUCUGUCUCAAAAAAAAAAAAAAGAGAAAGAAAAGAAAAGAAAAAGAAAAUUAACACUGAGUUUCUAUUUUUCACAUAUUAGAUUGGGAAAAAAUCCCAAUGCUUGAUAAUUAAAGCUUGUUUCAGAAGGACUGAAGAAACUGGUACUCUCACACAAGAUGAGAGACUCUAUCAUCAAGAUAGCAACAUCUACCAAAAAUUGUCAAGCCCUUUGACAUAUUUCCAAUAAUUUACCGAGAAAAAGUUCUCACUUUUGUGAGAUGAUAUGCAUGCUAAGAUAUUCUCUGCAGCAUGAGCUAUUAUAGCAAAAGCCUGGAAACAACUUAAACGUCCAUUAGUAAGGAGAUUAAUUCAAUAUAUUAUGAUUCAU
rnacentral:lncRNA from 1 species